UCAAGUUCAAAUUCUCGACUUAGCUCACAAAUGAGCUGAACGAAUGCAAGUUUAUCCUAUCUCGCUCGUGUUUGAUCCGAUACAGCUCAAAAAUAAAUAAAUAAAUAAUACAUAUUAUUUUUAUAUUAAUAUAUAGUAAAUUUAAAUAUUAUAUUAUAUUUUUUAUAUUUUAGAAUGACUUUUAAUAAAUUUAAAUAUUUAUUUAGUAAUACUAAGAGCAAGAGUAAGUAUCGGUAAUUAUAAAUUAAUAAUAAUUUAAAUUAUGAUUAGUGUUAAUAUUUUAUUUAAUUUUGGAAUUAAUUUCGAGUAGAAAACGAAGUGAAUUAUUCCAGCUCACAGGUACCCGUGUUCGGCAGGUGGCAUUCCCUACUUAAGAAUAAAAAUGUUAUGAAACAACCGUUCUACUCUAAGGUAUCGUUUGGUUCGGGGAUAAGUAAAAAGUGGGUAUUCCAGGGAUAGGUAUAAAUUAAGGUAUAAGCGAGGAUUAGAUCAAUUUUGUGUUUGGAUGAAAAUUGAGUUAUUGCUGGGAAUAAGAAAAAUAGCGUUUGGUUAGGUAAGAUGGGAUAAGAAUUAAAGUUGGUAGUUAAAAAUAAAAAAUAAUGAUAUUAUCUUUUUCUUUAUAUUAGAAUUUAAACUUUUAUAUUUUAUAUUUAUAUUUUAAAAGUUAAAAUAUAAACUUUUAAUUUAAAAAUUAAAAUUAAAAUUUUAAAUUUUAAAAUCUCAAAUUUAUAAUUUUAAAAAAUUAAUUUUUUAAAGUUUGAACAUUAAAUUUAAGN
rnacentral:lncRNA from 1 species